rnacentral:rRNA from 1 species
UGGGGAAUUUUGGACAAUGGGGGCAACCCUGAUCCAGCAAUGCCGCGUAUGUGAAGAAGGCCUUCGGGUUGUAAAGCACUUUUGUCCGGAAAGAAAUCGCCCUGGCUAAUAUCCGGGGUGGAUGACGGUACUGGAAGAAUAAGCACCGGCUAACUACGUGCCAGCAGCCGCGGUAAUACGUAGGGUGCGAGCGUUAAUCGGAAUUACUGGGCGUAAAGCGUGCGCAGGCGGUUGUGCAAGACAGAUGUGAAAUCCCCCGGGGCUUUAAACCUGGGAAUGGCAUUUGUGACUGCACGGCUAGAGUGUGUCAGAGGGGGGUAGAAUUCCACGUGUAGCAGUGAAAUGCGUAGAUAUGUGGAGGAACACCGAUGGCGAAGGCAGCCCCCUGGGAUAACACUGACGCUCAUGCACG